rnacentral:rRNA from 1 species
AUUGAACGCUGGCGGCAUGCCUAACACAUGCAAGUCGAACGGUAACAGGCCUUCGGGCGCUGACGAGUGGCGGACGGGUGAGUAACGCGUGGGAAUCUGCCUAGUAUGGGGGACAACCUGGGGAAACUCAGGCUAAUACCGCAUACGCCCUACGGGGUAAAGCAGGGGACCUUCGGGCCUUGCGCUGAUGGAUGAGCUCGCGUCGGAUUAGCUUGUUGGUGAGGUAAAGGCUCACCAAGGCGACGAUCCGUAGCUGGUCUGAGAGGAUGACCAGCCACACUGGAACUGAGACACGGUCCAGACUCCUACGGGAGGCAGCAGUGGGGAAUAUUGCACAAUGGGCGCAAGCCUGAUGCAGCCAUGCCGCGUGUGUGAAGAAGGCCUUAGGGUUGUAAAGCACUUUCAGCAGUGAGGAAAGGGGUGUCGUUAAUAGCGCCAUCCUGUGACGUUAACUGCAGAAGAAGGACCGGCUAACUCCGUG